UUUUACAACUCAAAAAAACUCCAGGUUUCUACAAAUGUGGAACAUGUUCUACAUGUACCCAUCAAAAAAGGAAAUCUACAUCUUUUGUGGGAUCUUAUACCAAUCAGAUAUAUAAUAUAAAGAAAUUUAUACAUUGUACAUCCACAUAUGUGAUUUAUCUUUUACAAUGUGGAUGUGGAUCUCAAUAUGUAGGAAGAACUACCAGAACCCUGCAUACUAGACUCCGUGAACAUUUCAAUAAUAUUAGGACACAUAAGGUAGAGCACAGUGUUCCAAAUCACUGCAAUUCCUGUAAUAUGUUUAAUUGGUCUACCUUUAUGGCCAUUGGUAUAGACCAGGUAACUCCACAUUGGAGAGGAGGAAGUAGAAUUAACGAUUUAGCUAAAAAGGAGGCUUUUUGGAUCUAUACAUUAAACACUUUGAAGAGAGGUCUUAACCAAGAUAUAGAUUUGGGAGGGCUCCUUUAAUCAUUACGAAUUUACCAUUCAUUUCAUGAUAAAGAAGUCCCCCUUUUUUUCGUGUAUAGUAUUAUAUCUAUGUGAG